rnacentral:rRNA from 1 species
AAUGGGCGCAAGCCUGAUCCAGCAAUGCCGCGUGGGUGAAGACGGCCUGCGGGUUGUAAAGCCCUUUAGGCGGGGAGGAACGGUCGGCGGCGAACAACCGCCGGCGCUGACGUUACCCGCGGAAUAAGCACCGGCUAACUCCGUGCCAGCAGCCGCGGUAAUACGGAGGGUGCGAGCGUUAAUCGGAAUUACUGGGCGUAAAGCGUGCGUAGGCGGUUCGGUCAGUCAGCCGUGAAAGCCCCGGGCUCAACCUGGGAACGGCGGUUGAGACGGCCGGACUGGAGUGGGCUAGAGGAUCGUGGAAUUCCGGGUGUAGCGGUGAAAUGCGUAGAGAUCCGGAGGAACACCGAUGGCGAAGGCAGCGGUCUGGGGCCACACUGACGCUGAGGCACGAAAGCGUGGGGAGCAAA